rnacentral:rRNA from 1 species
GACGAACGCUGGCGGCGUGCUUAACACAUGCAAGUCGAACGGAAAGGCCCUGCUUUUGUGGGGUGCUCGAGUGGCGAACGGGUGAGUAACACGUGAGUAACCUGCCCUUGACUUUGGGAUAACUUCAGGAAACUGGGGCUAAUACCGGGUAGGAGCUCCUGCUGCAUGGUGGGGGUUGGAAAGUUUCGGCGGUUGGGGAUGGACUCGCGGCUUAUCAGCUUGUUGGUGGGGUAGUGGCUUACCAAGGCUUUGACGGGUAGCCGGCCUGAGAGGGUGACCGGCCACAUUGGGACUGAGAUACGGCCCAGACUCCUACGGGAGGCAGCAGUGGGGUAUAUUGCACAAUGGGCGGAAGCCUGAUGCAGCAACGCCGCGUGCGGGAUGACGGCCUUCGGGUUGUAAACCGCUUUCGCCUGUGACGAAGCGUGAGUGACGGUAAUGGGUAAAGAAGCACCGGCUAACUACGUG